rnacentral:rRNA from 1 species
UACGAAGGGGGCUAGCGUUGUUCGGAAUUACUGGGCGUAAAGCGCACGUAGGCGGACUAUUAAGUCAGGGGGUGAAAGCCCAGGGCUCAACCCUGGAAUUGCCUUCGAUACUGAGAGUCUUGAGUUCGGAAGAGGUUGGUGGAACUGCGAGUGUAGAGGUGAAAUUCGUAGAUAUUCGCAAGAACACCAGUGGCGAAGGCGGCCAACUGGUCCGAUACUGACGCUGAGGCGCGACAG